UACAGAGGGUGCGAGCGUUGUUCGGAAUUAUUGGGCGUAAAGCGCUUGUAGGCGGCCUGGAAAGUCCUGUGUGAAAGCCCUUGGCUCAACCAAGGAAGUGCGCAGGAAACUGUCAGGCUUGAGUGCCGGAGAGGGUCGCGGAAUUCCCGGUGUAGAGGUGAAAUUCGUAGAUAUCGGGAGGAACACCAGUGGCGAAGGCGGCGACCUGGACGGACACUGACGCUGAGACGCGAAAGCGUGGGGAGCAAACAGG
rnacentral:rRNA from 1 species